rnacentral:rRNA from 1 species
UUGCCAGCGUACUCUCUGGAGGUGACGGGUACACUGUGGGGACCGCCGCUGCUAAAGCGGAGGAAGGAAUGGGCAACGGUAGGUCAGUAUGCCCCGAAUAUCCCGGGCUACACGCGAGCUACAAUGGUUGGUACAAUGGGUAUCUACCCCGAAAGGGGACGGGAAUCUCCUAAAACCAAUCUUAGUUCGGAUUGAGGGCUGCAACUCGCCCUCAUGAAGCUGGAAUCCGUAGUAAUCGCGUUUCAACAGAACGCGGUGAAUACGUCCCUGCUCCUU